rfam:Cavia porcellus supercont2_2 genomic scaffold, whole genome shotgun sequence.
CCAAAGGCUCUUUUAAGAGCCACUACAGUGUCAAAGGAAGGGCUGAU